AUGAAUAUAACGGAAAGAAGGAGAUGUAAGAUGACGAAGCAUAAAUAAAUAUUCAGUGAUGAAUUAUUGACAGAAGAUGCAUGCAUAAAGAGAUGUAGAAGAAGAAGUCACAUAAAACGGCGAUAGAAAAGAUAUGUAUUAGGGAUUCCACUAUUUUCCUUUUUAAUAUAUUGUUUGUAUUCAUUUUUAUUAGUUUUUGUUUCUUUUUUUAAUUUUAUUUUUGUCUACGUUAUGUUUAAUCAAUACUUUAAAAUAUGAAUAUUUAAUUUGGGGUAUUUAAAUUGAACUUUUAACAUUAAUGUAGUUUAAAGUUUUAGGGCUCAAUAUUGUUAAGUUGGGGCUAUUAAUUUUAUUUAAUUUACUGAUGGGUCCAAAAAAAAUUAAAAUUUCAAGUUGUGUACUUUAAUUUUCACUUAUUUAAUAGACAGUAAAU
rnacentral:lncRNA from 1 species